AAGCAUCUAAGCGGGAAACUUGCCUCGAGAUGAGUCUUCCCUGUCGCUUUAAGUGUCCUAAAGGAACGUUUAAGACUAAGACGUUGAUAGGGUGGGUGUGUAAGCGUAGCGAUACGUUGAGCUAACCAGUACUAAUGAACCGUGAGGCUUAACCUG
rnacentral:rRNA from 1 species